GACGAACGCUGGCGGCGUGCCUAACACAUGCAAGUCGAACGGGGUAGUUCCUUCGGGGACUACUUAGUGGCGAACGGGUGAGUAACGCGUGAGAAACCUGCCUUUCAGUGGGAGACAACAGUUGGAAACGACUGCUAAUACCGCAUAAUGUUUCGAGAGGGCAUCCUCUUGAAACCAAAGCUUUAUGUGCUGAAAGAUGGUCUCGCGUCUGAUUAGCUAGUUGGUGAGGUAACGGCUCACCAAGGCGACGAUCAGUAGCCGGUCUGAGAGGAUGAACGGCCACAUUGGGACUGAGAUACGGCCCAGACUCCUACGGGAGGCAGCAGUGGGGAAUAUUGGGCAAUGGGGGAAACCCUGACCCAGCAACGCCGCGUGAAGGAAGAAGGCCUUCGGGUUGGUAAACUUCUUUACCUAGGGACGAAGAACGUGACGGUACCU
rnacentral:rRNA from 1 species